UACGUAGGGAGCAAGCGUUGUCCGGAAUCAUUUGGCGUAAAGCGCGCGUAGGUGGCCCCAUAAGUCCGCUGUGAAAGUCAAAGGCUCAACCUUUGAAAGCCGGUGGAUACUGUGGGACUAGAGUACGGAAGAGGCGAGUGGAAUUCCUGGUGUAGCGGUGGAAUGCGCAGAUAUCAGGAGGAACACCGGUGGCGAAGGCGGAUCUCUGGGCCAUUACUGACGCUGAGGAGCGAAAGCGUGGGGAGCGAACAGG
rnacentral:rRNA from 1 species